rnacentral:lncRNA from 1 species
GAUACAUUAAGCUUUUAAAUAUGGUCACUUCCCUGUCGAUUACUAGCGUUUGGCUGCUUGUGGAGAUCAGUUGUGUCAGCCUAGAUGUUACAGGUUGUUAAGAGCUUUUAUAUUUCAUUGCAAAAUGUGCCGUUUGGAUGGAACAUCUUGUGCUCCUCUGUUUCUGGUUGCUAAGUACCCAGUCUUCAGAGCUGUACCUUGAGGUAGAAGUUUAAUAAUCCUGUUAUGUUUACUCUCUUUCCUACAGAGUCGCAAGAAAUAUUUCUAGUAAUAGGAAGGAAGACAUAACAAGAGAACAAAGGACCAUCUCGCAACGCAGGAUCUGCAGUGAGAGCCACAGAUUGCCAGUAGGAGGAAAAUGCAACUCUCCAAACAGAACAAGGCAACUGUGUUUCAUGAGACAUUCGUUUAAACAUGACCAUCUUCAAGCAGAGUCCAAAAAUAUGGUACCCCUUAUUUGUGUAGAUGGAAACACAUGUGAAUAA